ACGCGGAUGCAGACCAUCGAAGCGACAUCAUAAAGCGGCCCUGAUUUUGAGCUUUGGCGCGGGUGGUUGUGGGUAGCGCGCCCGAGAGGGAGGAUGAACGAGGAACAUCCCGCAAGCCGAAGGGGCGAUGCUGGUCGUGGCGACCCUGGCAGGAGCUGCAGGCCCUGUGCCAGGAGCUGAAUGUGGACGAGGGGAGCGCAGCCUAAGCCCUGGAGGACUUCGCAACCGUCCAGGGCAACUACAGCCUAGAGGGAGAAGUUAUACACAGCAAUGCCACUCCCAGGAAUAUACCCUGCAGACCCAUCUCCACAGAAAGAGCAAACCCUUACCUUGGGGUCAAGCUUGAUAACCUUUGAAGAACAUAAAGGAGGACAUAUCUCUGUAACAGUGGUUAAGAAUCCACCUGCCAACGCUGGGGACCUGGGUUCGAGCCCUGGUCCGGGAAGAUCCCACAUGCCGCAAAGCAACUAAGCCCGUGUGCCACAACUACUGAGCCCUCAUGCUGCAACUGCUGAAGUCCUCGCGCCUAGAGCCUGUGCUCCGCAGCAAGAGAAGCCACCGCAAUGAGCAGCCCGCGCACCACAACGAAGAGUAGCCCCGCUCGCCACAACUAGAGAAAGCCCACGCACAGCAACGAAGACCCAA